rnacentral:rRNA from 1 species
GGCGAACGGGUGAGUAACACGUGGGCAAUCUGCCCCUCACUUCGGGACAAGCCCUGGAAACGGGGUCUAAUACCGGAUGACAUCCCCGCCCGCAUGGGCGGGGGUUGAAAGCUCCGGCGGUGAGGGAUGGGCCCGCGGCCUAUCAGCUUGUUGGUGAGGUAACGGCUCACCAAGGCGACGACGGGUAGCCGGCCUGAGAGGGCGACCGGCCACACUGGGACUGAGACACGGCCCAGACUCCUACGGGAGGCAGCAGUGGGGAAUAUUGCACAAUGGGCGCAAGCCUGAUGCAGCGACGCCGCGUGAGGGAUGACGGCCUUCGGGUUGUAAACCUCUUUCAGCAGGGAAGAAGCGCAAGUGACGGUACCUGCAGAAGAAGCGCCGGCUAACUACGUGCCAGCAGCCGCGGUAAUACGUAGGGCGCGAGCGUUGUCCGGAAUUAUUGGGCGUAAAGAGCUCGUAGGCGGCCUGUCGCGUCAAUUGUGAAAGCCCGGGGCUUAACCCCGGGUCUGCAGUCGAUACGGGCAGGCUAGAGUGUGGUAGGGGAGAUCGGAAUUCCUGGUGUAGCGGUGAAAUGCGCAGAUAUCAGGAGGAACACCG